GCCACCUGAGCAAGGGUCUCCUGUUGGUGAUCCCUCCUUUGUGGAGUCUUUCUGCUAGUCAUGAUCUUGGGAUACAGUGUAAAAGAUUAUCCGGGAAUGCAGAGGGAUCUUCCCUGUAGCAGUCUACCUGGCUAAAUUCAAUUGCAGGUUCCCAAGCCACGUAUUUGGCUUCAAUUCUGGUGUUUGGAUUGACCUGAAAGAUCAAAGCAGAAGACAUCCAAUUCACCAAGAGCAUUAGAACUUACAGCCAAUGCUUUAUAAGUUAGGAAUUUCCACGGAUACAGAAGGGAUAUUGCUUCCAAAAUCUCAUUGACAUCCAGAGGUUUUUGGAUAUGCUUUAAGCUUCUUUCAGAAUCCUAUGCUGAAAUGGUCCAGCUUUGCUUUACUUCCUAAAUAAAUGUAUUUCUCAUUUUAUUUAUUUUAUGUUCUUACUGAUUGUUUAUAUUUAAUGCUUGCACCUCCCUGAGACACACCUUUUGCCCUUUUCAAGUUUGAGUGAUGUUGACAACCUAGGAUAAUUAUACGUGAUCAUUUUUGUUGUAGAAAGUAAUUAUUUGUUAACAAGUAAGUAAUUUCCAUAGGAAUCCACCUCCUUCCAAAAAAUAUAAGCAAAAAGCCGGGCCUUGCAAGCAUGACCAGAAAAUCUUUGGUUUUUGAAAACGUUAUCAACCUUUUUUUCUUCUUGUCAUGAUGUAGUAGGCACGUAAAUGUCACACAGCAAAGGCAGAAGUAUCUGGCUUCCUAAAAGCCUCCAUUUUGAGGAAUAUACUUAAACUUCCUACAAAACAUCAUGGAAUUUUCAUUUUUUUCUUACUGAAAAAUAAAAGUGAAAUAUUUUAAAGCAUUGUAAUAUACAAAUAAUUAACUGGUAGUGUUGUCAGAUCUAGCUCUCCUUCCACCUUUCUGGAAAUAGAAAAACAAUGAAUAGUAUUUUUUGCGAUUAUCAGCGCUUAUUAUUUAAGCAGUGGUUGACGACUUUCCUGACUCUUCAGUUUUCUCUUGACUUUGAACAGCAGCAGCUUACAGACACAAGUGGCCCCACUGCUCUGAGCCACCAUUAGCACUAGAGUUACAAAUAGACUCAGCAGCUGAACUGUUCGAUUCUUUCCAGUCUGUCAUUUGAGGAACUGUAUACGUACAUUACUGUAUCUGAAGUGGGACCUAUAUUUUUUGAGUUCUGGUUCAUGUAGCAUAGAGCUGGAAAUCUUGAAUUCCAUUGUUCUAUCAGAGAUACUGAAUGUGUGCUGCUUUGGGCAAGAACUAUUGGAAGUUGCUGAGCCACAUGUAUCUUGAUGAACGGAUCUAUUGGUCUGUAAAUAACACUCACAUUCCCAUGAAGGAAGUACGUCAAAAUCAGUAAAGCACUACUGUCUCUGUGAAGCAACUGGCACCUGAUCCUGAAGAAUUGUUUUAAUUCCUGUCACAUUCUUAAACUUUCAUUUGUUACUCUGUUAAACAUUAUCAUUUUAUGUUGUAAGGUCUAUUCUGCACCAAACUAUAAGUGGGAAUUGCAAGGGCAGGAAAAAACUCAGAACGGCGUGCAAUCACAUGUACUAUCUUUUUAUUUUCUGUAUGAAUUGUUACGUGAUGUAAAUCAUAGGAUAAUGCUUCACUGGAGAUUUAACUUGCUGACUUAAUUUCCAGAGAACAACAGACUGAUACCAAUGUAUUCUUCACAGAUUUCCCUUCAUUUCCAGUCAUCUUCUGUAUUUCCUUUCCUCUCAUUUUUUGCUCUUCACAAAGUAUUCUGUGUUAUGUCUUUCUUAUUUCACUUGUAAAUACUAGGAGACCAAUUCUGGGAAGCCCUUGAGAAUGGUUUCUUUGACUUAUGGACUUGUUUUGCUGCUGGGGAGAAGUAUAGUGCAGAUAUUUGCAUUAAUAUGUCCUGCAAUAUUUCUUUCCAACAGAUCAUUGCAAUGUGUUAAUAUUGCCAAUAAAUUGUUCCUACCUAACGAUGUUCAUGAAGAGUAAUGCUGGCUGCCAGAAAACUUAAGAUUUUCUAAACUAAACAAACUCAUCCUAAUGGCUGUCCUGGCUUCCCCAGUCCCCACUAAGCCUCUUGACUUAGGUUGAAUUAGUCUUUCAGACAAGAGACUAAAGAACAGAGUGAUGCAAAAUACAGAGAUAAGUGACAUGUAAGGAAGACUAUUAGGACUAGCUUAAGAUGCUCAAGCGCUCUUCUGCCUUAGUUUUCAUGCAUCGUGGGGCAGUGAGUCUAUGCCUGUGAGCAUUCAGAAAAUUUGCUGUGAGGUCCCACAGUUUUGCAGAUCUCAGAAGUUAAUACAAGCACAAACAUUCAAUUUGGAAUAUCUGGUUCAAUCAUUCUCUGCCCUGAUUGCAUGCCAGUGGCCACAAAAAACUCCCAAACCUCCAUUUCCUCAGAUCACAGAAAAGAAAUGUCGAAGUAACAACUGAAAUCCUAUCAGUAUGUCCUGUGUUUAGGUGCAUAUUAUUAUAUAACAACUGCGUAGUGUAAUAUGCUACAUAAUAAAUACCAAAGCCCAAAGUAUUUGCUACAAGAUGGGAAAAGAACUUAAGGAGCUAAUGUGCAUUUUCAGAUAUGUUGUUUUAAUUUUCAUACAGGAGCAGUUGGGGUUAUAACAGGAAGAACCGAAGUGUAUGUCAAGAAUAGCAAAAUAGCAUAAACUUUUCAGAAGCAAUUUGUUUUUAACUUUACGUUAAGGAACUUCACAAAUUCUAUUAAAAUAUGAAGCUUAGAUAUUGUUAAGACUGGAAAUUGCAGUUGUUCCUCCUCUAACCUUUGGUAUUCUCCCCAGUAUCCUCGUUUGUCAAAGGUACUUAAUUCUAUGAGCUCGUUAUUUUUCCUGUACUAAUACAUUUUCCUUAUCUUCUAAUUAACUGCUGCUCCUAGCAUAUUUAUGAUGGCAUGCUCACAUCUAUUCUGGCUUCUUUGCCUUAUUCCAAUGCAGGUCUCCUGCUGCAAUUGACACAGUUGAUGCUUUGACAUUAUUCAUAUUGUCUUCUGGUGCCUUUUGAUAUCUUCCAUAUUUCUAACUGUUUCUGGUUUGGCAAAGAUGGGAAUCCAAAUGCAUAGCUGCUAGCAAAUCUUCCAGCUUAAAUUUGAGAAGGGUCUUAAUAGGUAAAUAAUAUCAAAAUUCCUUCUGUUUUCUAAACGUGUUUUGUAAUUGUUCCUUAAGAUUUCAUUUCUGUGUAAAAUGCAAUGUGAACAGGCAGUACAUUUUUCUAGCUUUUCAACUACAAGCAACAUUUCGCAUGUGACUUCUUGAAACCUCACAUCUCCCAUUUAUGCUAUUAUUGCUACUAAUCUCUUGAGGUUUCAGCUGCAAAUAAUAAAAUUGGUGCAGAAAAUGUGAAGUACUUUCGGUCCUGCUCAA